UGGGUGGGCUUGUGCGACACACGCCCUGCUGAACCCCGCCAGGCCCGGAAGGGAGCAACGGUAGGUAGGGUUGUGUGAGCGUGCAAUGUCCUGCUCAGCU
rnacentral:SRP_RNA from 1 species